rnacentral:lncRNA from 1 species
UAAGUCCUUUAUGGAGAACUGUGAUGAUAAUCAUAGCUUCACACUCUACAAAGCAGGGAUAUCAUUUUCUACUAAUAGUAUGUCAUACACAUAUAGCACAAGAAAGAUGACUACAAAAUCGAAAGCCUACUUGUAGACGUAAGGCUCUUCUCCAUUUCUAAUGAAGCCAUAUAGUUUGAUCACUGUUGGGUAUAAAAUACCCUCAGCCG